rnacentral:rRNA from 1 species
GUAGGUGGCAAGCGUUGUCCGGGAAUUAUUGGGGCGUAAAGCGCGCGCAGGCGGUUCUUUAAGUCUGAUGUGAAAGCCCACGGGCUCAACCGUGGAGGGUCAUUGGAAACUGGAGAACUUGAGUACAGAAGAGGAAAGCGGAAUUCCACGUGUAGCGGUGAAAUGCGUAGAGAUGUGGAGGAACACCAGUGGCGAAGGCGGCUCUCUGGUCUGUAACUGACGCUGAGGCGCGAAAGCGUGGGGAGCAAACAGGAUUAGAUACCCUGGUAGUCCACGCCGUAAACGAUGAGUGCUAAGUGUUAGGGGGUUUCCGCCCCCUAGUGCUGCAGCUGACGCAUUAAGCACUCCGCCUGGGGAGUACGGCCGCAAAGGCUG